CGUACAGAGGCUCUUCCUCCAUCAACGCCCCAGUGACCGACCUGUCUCUUGGUCCCUCCCAUGAAAUACCUUGCACAUCUGCAGGUGCAGGUGUAGCUGUUGCUGGUAAACCCAUUAUUAACCCAGACGGAGCUCGAACCACCCCUGCCUGGCCAACACCUACUGGACCUUCUCGACCAAUGAUUUCACUGUCUCUGGUGCCUCGGGCCUAGAGAUCAAAGCCCACCUCUUUGAGGACCAGCGUGCAUUUUCCUGGUCCGACGGCCUGCGGCAGCUCCGCGAUGCGUCCCUUGUUGAGAACGAUGCAGCAUGCUGCACUCCGCCCUUCCUCCAGCCCCUGACUACCGCCGGCACCUGGAACCACACCGCCAGGGGUGAAUAGUAAUUAGACAGGUUUGAGUGGAGGGGUCAGAGGGUAACCGUUGGCCUCGCACCAGCCGACAGGAAAGAUGUCCAUGGACUCGACGUCCACGAUACGCUCUGACAGGGGCUUCGCCACACCUGGAGACAGUGAAAUUAUCGCCACUGUCUCGUCAAGGCUAGAAUCUCAUUAAGGAAGUCUGCUUAUGUGAGGGAAAAGUUUUAACUCGGUGGAACUUUGGCUUCAAAACCUGGUGGAAAACCAGCGUAGUGUUCACUGUUAUGGCUUCUGCAGCUGCCUGAGAAUCCGCAGCCACCACUCUCUCUCCACUGGAAAUAAUGGUUUUCGUCUGCACUGUAUUGAACUUUUGGUGAUGUGUUGGCCGACGUAUACUACAUCAUUUUAAUGAUAUAUUUUGAUUAAUUGGUUUGUAGGGAAGCUGUCUCUGGUUGCCAGAUCUCUAAAGUGGCCAUCAGCGGACGUGUAUCAUAGUGUGAUGUAGGACUGUUGUUCACAGCUCAAAAUAGCACAGUGUAUAGGCGCCGUAAGAAAAUCAGAGCAGGGUUCUGUUUCAGUUCAUGGAUCGGUAUUGAUGUUCUGCACACAAUAUCUGGUUUCCAAAAUAGAUUUUCACCCACUGAACUGCUCCCAGAAAUGAUCAGGCUCAGUCUGAUAAUGUAAAAACUGGUAUUUCUACUGAGCAUCAGAAAGGACAAAUGCUUUAAAAGUAGGACUGUCCCGGUUUUAAAGGGGGUGU